ensembl:snRNA U6 U6 spliceosomal RNA
GCUGACUGAAACAGACAGCAAGUAUACUAACAUUGGAAUGAGAGAGAUCAGCAUGACUCCUGUGCAAGGAUGACAUGCAAAUUCAUGAAGAGUUUCAUAUUUUU